rnacentral:sRNA from 1 species
AAAGUAACAAAAUAUUUAGCAUGAAUAGCAAAAAAGUUGACUUGUGACCGAAUAAUCAUGUAAAAAAAUACAUGCAUCAGAAUAGUUAGCAGAUAACGUAUUAUCAGGAUAACAUGAUAACAAAUAUCUCGGUAAUAUUUAUUAGGUUAACAUGAUA